GUGUGUGUCUCUGAUAUGAAAAAGACAGUGAAUGUACAGUGUUGUGUGUCUCUGAUAUGAAAAAGACAAUGUACAGUGUGUGUGUCUGAUAUGAAAAAGACAGUGAAUGUACAGUUUGUGUGUCUCUGAUAUGAAAAAGACAAUCUACAGUGUGUGUCUCUGAUAUGAAAAAGACAAUGUGCAGUGUGUGUGUCUCUGGUAUAAAAAGACAAUGUACAGUGUGUAUCUCUGGUAGGAAAAAGAUCAGACAGAAUGUACAGUGUGUGUCUCUGAUAUGAAAAAGAUCAGACAAUGAAUGUACAGUGUGUGUCUCUGGUAUGAAAAAGAUCAGACAAUGAAUGUCCAGUGUGUGUCUCUGGUAUGAAAAAGACAAUGUACAGUGUCUGUCUCAUGUAGAAAAAAGAUCAGACAAUGUAUGUACAGUGUGUGUCUCUGGUAUGAAAAAGAUCAGACAAUGAAUGUCCAGUGUGUGUCUCUGGUAUGAAAAAGACAAUGUACAGUGUCUGUCUCAUGUCGAAAAAAGAUCAGACAAUUUAUGUACAGUGUGUGUCUCUGAUAUGAAAAAGAUCAGACAAUGAAUGUACAGUGUGUGUCUCUGAUAUGAAAAAGACAGUGAAUGUACAGUGUGUGUGUCUCUGAUAUGAAAAAGACAAUGUACAGUGUGUGUCUCUGAUAUGAAAAAGACAGUGAAUGUACAGUGUUUGUGUCUCUGAUAUGAAAAACACAAUCUACAGUGUGUGUCUCUGA